UGAGGAAUAUUGGUCAAUGGGCGCAAGCCUGAACCAGCCAUCCCGCGUGAAGGAAGAAGGCGCUAUGCGUUGUAAACUUCUUUUCCAGGGGGAGAAUUUUUCCGUCGUGACGGGAAUUGACGGUACUCUGGGAAUAAGCAUCGGCUGACUCCGUGCCAGCAGCCGCGGUAAUACGGAGGAUGCGAGCGUUAUCCGGAUUUAUUGGGUUUAAAGGGUGCGUAGGCGGAUUGAUAAGUCAGUGGUGAAAACCUGCAGCUUAACUGUAGACUUGCCGUUGAUACUGUCAGUCUUGAGUGUGGUCAAGGUAGGCGGAAUGUGUAAUGUAGCGGUGAAAUGCUUAGAUAUUACACAGAACACCGAUUGCGAAGGCAGCUUACUGGGCCAUUACUGACGCUGAUGCACGAAAGCGUGGGGAUCGAACAG
rnacentral:rRNA from 1 species